AACGAACGCUGGCGGCAGGCCUAACACAUGCAAGUCGAGCGCCACGCAAGGGGCGCGGCGGACGGGUGAGUAACGCGUGGGAAUAUGCCCUUUGCCACGGCCUAGUCUCGGGAAACUGGGGGUAAUACCGUAUCCGCCCUCUGGGGGAAAGGUUUAUCGGCGAAGGAUUAGCCCGCGUGGGAUUAGGUCGUUGGUGGGGUAAUGGCCUACCAAGCCGACGAUCCAUAGCUGGGUUGAGAGGAUGAUCAGCCACACUGGGACUGAGACACGGCCCAGACUCCUACGGGAGGCAGCAGUGGGGAAUCUUAGACAAUGGGGGCAACCCUGAUCUAGCCAUGCCGCGUGAGUGAUGAAGGCCUUAGGGUUGUAAAGCUCUUUCAGCUGGGAAGAUAAUGACGGUACCAGCAGAAGAAGCCCCGGCUAACUCCGUG
rnacentral:rRNA from 1 species